AAUUAAAUAAUCAAAUAAUAAUAUUCUUGGCAGGAGCAUGGAGUCAUGGUGAGCAUACCUGUUGUGGUGUGGAUAUUGAAUGUUUCCCAGACGCCCAUGUGUUCAAGGCUCAGUCCCAGCUUCUCAAAAAAAUGCAGUGGAACUGGAUGUGGAAAUAUUGUUCUGGACUGAAGAAGUCUGAUUACAAUGGAGACUAAACCAAUUUGGAGAAAGUGGAAAUUUUCAUCCUUUCACAGUUUCUAGGUAUCUUCAGACAGAAUUAUCAACUGAAAUUUUAUAUUUAAAUGUUUGUAAAUAUAGCCAAGUAUGCAAAAUCUACCUUUGCUGCCCC
rnacentral:lncRNA from 1 species